rnacentral:lncRNA from 1 species
UAUAAAUAUACAAAAAAUAUAAAAAAAAAUUGCUAUUAUUUUAAGAGCGACUGUACAAUGUCGCUGUUUAGUUGUUAACAUUUGCCCAAUCUUAACAUUUUGUAUGCCAAAUUGACCUACUUACCCUCUUCUUUCACCUUUUUAUUGGAAUGAGAAAGAGAUUGGAUGCCUUCCUCUUGUCUGUCCUUCCAGAUAAAAAUGAUCACAUAAGAUUUGAAACAUUUGACAAACUGCAUCGUUGUAACAAAGGAACAUAUUUGAGUUAGUUCUCAAUGGUCACAUCACCUCCGAUCCUGGUAAGUAUAUAAUGAUAACAGAAAAGUAACAUAAUAAAUAAAGAAUUAAAAGGAAUAGUGUGAUAGGAAGGGUCGCCUUGUAGGAGAGCCAGAGGCAUGAUUCUGACAAAACGAACCAUCUUGUUACCAUCAAAAGUACAUCAAAAUUUUCUUUUAACCUUAUUUACUUGGCUGUACAGUACCAGCAUGUUAAAGCAUAAAGACUUCAAACAGAACUCUCACCAAUUGUCUUUAUUAUUAAAAGGAUUGUCAGUAUAUUUCUCAACAAUCCUAAAAGUGAUUAACCAACACCUUUUUUAGGAGAAGAGAUAGCAACAGCAACAGCAACAAGAGCACUUCUUUGCAAACUAGCAGACGCUAAUUCAGUUAGGCUCAGACACAACAGUACCAAAUGACAUCCAAGGCAUAAAAGAGUCUUGACGCACAACAAUGCAAACGCGUUCUGCACAUGGCAACAGAAUGUUACUUGGAAUGACAUUUAUGACGGACACCAAAUCCACCGUAUGUUUCAUCAGAAGACUGCAUGACAUUUAUUAUGUGAGGAAAAUCAGCAGAAGCU